AUUGAACGCUGGCGGCAGGCCUAACACAUGCAAGUCGAGCGGUAGAGAGGUGCUUGCAUCUCUUGAGAGCGGCGGACGGGUGAGUAAUGCCUAGGAAUCUGCCUGGUAGUGGGGGACAACGUUUCGAAAGGAACGCUAAUACCGCAUACGUCCUACGGGAGAAAGCAGGGGGACCUUCGGGCCUUACGUUAUCAGAUGAGCCUAGGUCGGAUUAGCUAGUAGGUGAGGUAAUGGCUCACCUAGGCGACGAUCCGUAGCUGGUCUGAGAGGAUGAUCAGUCACACUGGAACUGAGACACGGUCAGACUCCUACGGGAGGCAGCAGUGGGGAAUAUUGGACAAUGGGCGAAAGACCUGAUCCACGCCAUGCCGCGUGUGUGAAGAAGGUCUUCGGA
rnacentral:rRNA from 1 species